CUACGGGAGGCAGCAGUGGGGAAUAUUGCACAAUGGGGGAAACCCUGAUGCAGCCAUGCCGCGUGUGUGAAGAAGGCCUUCGGGUUGUAAAGCACUUUCAGUAGGGAGGAAGGUAGUGUAGUUAACACCUGCAUUAUUUGACGUUACCUACAGAAGAAGCACCGGCUAACUCCGUGCCAGCAGCCGCGGUAAUACGGAGGGUGCGAGCGUUAAUCGGAAUUACUGGGCGUAAAGCGCAUGCAGGCGGCCUGUUAAGUCAGAUGUGAAAGCCCGGGGCUUAACCUCGGAAUUGCAUUUGAAACUGGCAGGCUAGAGUCUUGUAGAGGGGGUAGAAUUUCAGGUGUAGCGGUGAAAAUGCGUAGAGAUCUGAAGGAAUACCAGUGGCGAAGGCGGCCCCCUGGACAAAGACUGACGCUCAGAUGCGAAAGCGUGGGGAGCAAACAGGAUUAGAUACCCUGGUAG
rnacentral:rRNA from 1 species